GAUGAACGCUGGCGGCGUGCCUAAUACAUGCAAGUCGAGCGAACGGACGAGAGUGCUUGCACUCUCUGAUGUUAGCGGCGGACGGGUGAGUAACACGUGGGUAACCUACCUAUAAGACUGGGAUAACUUCGGGAAACCGGAGCUAAUACCGGAUAAUACUUAGCUUCGCAUGAAGCAAUAGUGAAAGACGGUUCUGCUGUCACUUAUAGAUGGACCCGCGGUGUAUUAGCUAGUUGGUGAGGUAACGGCUCACCAAGGCGACGAUACAUAGCCGACCUGAGAGGGUGAUCGGCCACACUGGGACUGAGACACGGCCCAGACUCCUACGGGAGGCAGCAGUAGGGAAUCUUCCGCAAUGGACGAAAGUCUGACGGAGCAACGCCGCGUGAGUGAAGAAGGUUUUCGGAUCGUAAAACUCUGUUGUAAGGGAAGAACAAGUACGUUAGUAACUGAACGUACCUUGACGGUACCUUACCAGAAAGCCACGGCUAACUACGUGCCAGCCGCCGCCGUAA
rnacentral:rRNA from 1 species